AGCUCCAAUAGCGUAUAUUAAAGUUGUUGCAGUUAAAAAGCUCGUAGUUGGAUUUCUGGUUUGAGCGUCCGGUCGGCCUAGUGCCUGUACUAUGGAUGUUUGGGCCAUAUUUUGUGAGGAUGCCUUUCUGCCAUUGAGUUGGUGGUUGGGUGGACUUGCAUCGUUUACUGUGAAAAAAUUAGAGUGUUUAAAGCAGGCGUUUGCUCAUUUGAAUACAUUAGCAUGGAAUAAUAAGAUACGACCUUGGUGGUCUAUUUUGUUGGUUUGCACGCCAGGGUAAUGAUUAAUAGGGACAGUUGGGGGUAUUCAUAUUUCAACGUCAGAGGUGAAAUUCUUGGAUCGUUGAAAGAUGAGCUUAGGCGAAAGCAUUUACCAAGGAUGUUUUCA
rnacentral:rRNA from 1 species